rnacentral:rRNA from 1 species
UACGAAGGGGGCUAGCGUUGCUCGGAAUCACUGGGCGUAAAGAGCGCGCAGGCGGUCGUUCAAGUCGCGUGUGAAAGCCCCCGGCUCAACUGGGGAGGGUCACGCGAUACUGAUCGACUCGAAGGCAGGAGAGGGUAGUGGAAUUCCCGGUGUAGUGGUGAAAUGCGUAGAUAUCGGGAGGAACACCAGUGGCGAAGGCGACUACCUGGCCUGUUCUUGACGCUGAGGCGCGAAAGCUAGGGGAGCAAACAGG